rnacentral:rRNA from 1 species
UACAGAGGUCUCAAGCGUUGUUCGGAUUUACUGGGCGUAAAGGGCGCGUAGGCGGCCAGCACAAGUCAGUUGUGAAAUCUCCGAGCUUAACUCGGAAAGGUCAACUGAUACUGUGCGGCUAGAGUGCGGAAGGGGCAACUGGAAUUCUUGGUGUAGCGGUGAAAUGCGUAGAUAUCAAGAGGAACACCUGCGGCGAAGGCGGGUUGCUGGGCCGACACUGACGCUGAUGCGCGAAAGCUAGGGUAGCAAACAGG